GUAAUACCAAGGCCACCGCUGAUAAAUGGAUUACAAUCGGUGUGAAUUGCUGUCACGAACAUUGCGUCGGUUGGAUCGAGUCGUACCAUAGGCGAAGUAUUGCUGAAGUGUGGCUCUGCUGGGUCGAGGCCUUAAAGACAACCUGUUACCCUGAUCGGUUGGGAUUCGAUCGGCCAUCUUCGUAUGUCUCCGGAGUGUCGACGGACCACGUGUCUGCGAAGAGAUGAAGGAUACGAGUUCGGGAUCGUUCGGGUUACGCACGAACGAAUGAACGAACGAACGAACGAACGGACGAACGAACGAACGAACGGACGAAAGAACGAAAGAACGAACGAACGAACGAAAGAACGAAAGAACGAAGUAUGAUGAUCAUACUCACCAUUACCCAGGUGUCAUCACCGUUGUCUAAAAAUCCAUGUAUAAUGAAGUAAAAAGUGUUUUCUAAUCGAAACGGUGCACUCUUGAUCGUAUCGAAAUGAUCGAUCUUCAAUUCGUGCGGUUGAUCUAUGUAGUCAC